rnacentral:rRNA from 1 species
GACGAACGCUGGCGGCGUGCUUAACACAUGCAAGUCGAGCGGUAAGGCCCUUUCGGGGGUACACGAGCGGCGAACGGGUGAGUAACACGUGGGUGACCUGCCCUUAGCUCUGGGAUAAGCCUGGGAAACUGGGUCUAAUACCGGAUAUGACUCCAUGACGCAUGUUGUGGGGUGGAAAGCCUUGUGCGGCUAGGGAUGGGCCCGCGGCCUAUCGGCUUGUUGGUGGGGUGAUGGCCUACCAAGGCGACGACGGGUAGCCGGCCUGAGAGGGCGACCGGCCACACUGGGACUGAGACACGGCCCAGACUCCUACGGGAGGCAGCAGUGGGGAAUCUUGCGCAAUGGGCGAAAGCCUGACGCAGCGACGCCGCGUGAGGGAUGACGGCCUU